GGCAACGUGGCUGAGUGAUCUAAGACACUGGUUUUAGGCACCAGUCUCUUCGGAGGCGUGGGUUCGAAUCUCAUUGCUACUA
rnacentral:tRNA from 1 species